rfam:Alternaria alternata strain SRC1lrK2f unplaced genomic scaffold CC77scaffold_10, whole genome shotgun sequence.
AAAUGAUGAACACUUGAUGACGAGUCCGACGGGUUCGCCCGGUGAAGACUUAAAAUCAAAAAUAUCCAUUCAUGUCAACUGAUC